rnacentral:rRNA from 1 species
AAUCAACGCUGGCGGCGUGCCUCAGACAUGCAAGUCGAACGAUUAAGACUUCCUUCGGGAAGUGCAUAAAGUGGCGCACGGGUGAGUAACACGUAAGUAAUCUACCCUCGAGUGGGGAAUAACGUUCGGAAACGAACACUAAUACCGCAUAAUGCAGCGGCAUCGCAACAUGACAGUUGUUAAAGGAGUAAUUCGCUUGAGGAGGAGCUUGCGGCAGAUUAGCUAGUUGGUAAGGUAACGGCUUACCAAGGCUACGAUCUGUAUCCGGUCUAAGAGGACGGUCGGACACACUGACACUGAAUAACGGGUCAGACUCCUACGGGAGGCAGCAGUCGGGAAUUUUGGGCAAUGGGCGAAAGCCUGACCCAGCAACGCCGCGUGAAGGAUGAAGUAUUUCGGUAUGUAAACUUCGAAAGAAUGGGAAGAAUAAAUGACGGUACCAUUUAUAAGCUCCGGCUAACUACGUGCCAGCCGCCGCAGUAAUAC